GAUCGCCGCUACCAUGCAGUCGAACGAGCGAGAGAGAGCUUGCUUUCUCGAGCGAGUGGCGAACGGGUGAGUAACGCGUGAGGAACCUGCCUCAAAGAGGGGGACAACAGUUGGAAACGACUGCUAAUACCGCAUAAGCCCACGGCUCGGCAUCGAGCAGAGGGAAAAGGAGCAAUCCGCUUUGAGAUGGCCUCGCGUCCGAUUAGCUGGUUGGUGAGGUAACGGCCCACCAAGGCGACGAUCGGUAGCCGGACUGAGAGGUUGAACGGCCACAUUGGGACUGAGACACGGCCCAGACUCCUACGGGAGGCAGCAGUGGGGAAUAUUGCACAAUGGGGGAAACCCUGAUGCAGCGACGCCGCGUGGAGGAAGAAGGUCUUCGGAUUGUAAACUCCUGUUGUUGGGGAAGAUAAUGACGGUACCCAACAAGGAAGUGACGGCUAACUACGUGCCAGCAGCCGCGGUAAAACGUAGGUCACAAGCGUUGUCCGGAAUUACUGGGUGUAAAGGGAGCGCAGGCGGGAAGACAAGUUGGAAGUGAAAUCUAUGGGCUCAACCCAUAAACUGCUUUCAAAACUGUUUUUCUUGAGUAGUGCAGAGGUAGGCGGAAUUCCCGGUGUAGCGGUGGAAUGCGUAGAUAUCGGGAGGAACACCAGUGGCGAAGGCGGCCUACUGGGCACCAACUGACGCUGAGGCUCGAAAGUGUGGGUAGCAAACAGGAUUAGAUACCCUGGUAGUCCACACCGUAAACGAUGAUUACUAGGUGUUGGAGGAUUGACCCCUUCAGUGCCGCAGUUAACACAAUAAGUAAUCCACCUGGGGAGUACGACCGCAAGGUUGAAACUCAAAGGAAUUGACGGGGGCCCGCACAAGCAGUGGAGUAUGUGGUUUAAUUCGACGCA
rnacentral:rRNA from 1 species